GACGAACGCUGGCGGCGUGCUUAACACAUGCAAGUCGAACGGAAAGGCCCUGCUUUUGUGGGGUGCUCGAGUGGCGAACGGGUGAGUAACACGUGAGUAACCUGCCCUUGACUUUGGGAUAACUUCAGGAAACUGGGGCUAAUACCGGAUAGGAGCUCCUGCUGCAUGGUGGGGGUUGGAAAGUUUCGGCGGUUGGGGAUGGACUCGCGGCUUAUCAGCUUGUUGGUGGGGUAGUGGCUUACCAAGGCUUUGACGGGUAGCCGGCCUGAGAGGGUGAUCGGCCACAUUGGGACUGAGAUACGGCCCAGACUCCUACGGGAGGCAGCAGUGGGGAAUAUUGCACAAUGGGCGGAAGCCUGAUGCAGCAACGCCGCGUGCGGGAUGACGGCCUUCGGGUUGUAAACCGCUUUCGCCUGUGACGAAGCGUGAGUGGCGGUAAUGGGUAAAGAAGCACCGGCUAACUACGUG
rnacentral:rRNA from 1 species